rnacentral:misc_RNA from 1 species
UACGUAGGGUGCGAGCGUUGUCCGGAAUUAUUGGGCGUAAAGGGCUCGUAGGCGGUCUGUCGCGUCGGAUGUGAAAGCCCGGGGCUUAACCCCGGGCCUGCAUUCGAUACGGGCAGACUAGAGUGAGGUAGGGGAGAUCGGAAUUCCUGGUGUAGCGGUGAAAUGCGCAGAUAUCAGGAGGAACACCGGUGGCGAAGGCGGAUCUCUGGGCCGAUACUGACGCUGAGGAGCGAAAGCGUGGGGAGCGAACAGG